GCCAGGUGUUGUGGUGGGUGCUUGUGGUCCCAGCUACUUGGGAGGCAGAGGCAGGAGACUCGCUUGAGCCCAGGAGUUGGAAGUUGCUGUGAGCUGUGAUGCCAUAGCACUCUACUCAGGGGGAGAGCUUGAGGCUCUGUCUCAAAAAAAAAUAAAAUAAAAUAAAAAUAAAAUGAUAUGUCAACCCACAGAAGAGGAUUAAAAGUUGGGUUUUAUGUAUGUAUGUGAAUGCAUGGCCCUGGAUUUUUUUUUUUUUUUUGAGACAGAGCCUCAAGCUGUCCCCCUGGGUAGAGUGCUGUGGCAUCACAGCUCACAGCAACCUCCAGCUCCUGGGCUCAAGCGAGUCUCCUGCCUCUG
rnacentral:SRP_RNA from 1 species